UUAAAUACUAGGAAUGUUUCAACUACUCAUGAUCAAAACGAUGAGUGGCCUAGGCUACUAACCUCCAUUACGCCAAGGAGGUGCACUUAGCUUAAGGCUCUCCCGCCUGCGUCAUUAUUUGUGGCAGAGGGAGCCUGCGUACGCGCGGCCCCUAC